CCUUUGAUAACUUUAAACUAUUUUGGAUUUGUACCAAACUUGGACAGAAGCUGGUUUAUGAUCAGAUGCUAGUAUCGAGACGGAAAUUUUGUUCUGCUUUGUCUUUCUAACCAUUUUUGAUCUGAGCGUCACUGGUGAGUUUUAUGUAGACGAAAUGAGCGUCUGGCGUAUCAAACUAUAAGCCUGGUACCUUUGAUAAUUAUGAACUUCCAUUCAUCAAUUCACACGAAUCUAUCAAAAAAGCAAACUUCAAUUCAACCAUUAUUGAAUACAGUAACACAAGUAAUAUACAGUUUGAGAUGCAAUUCAGUUAUGUUGUACAUAAUUCGUGAAGCAGGUAUCGUCAUAGGGUAAGAGUUGCACAUAGUUCUAUAAUAGGUGCAAUAUCGUUCCGAC
rnacentral:lncRNA from 1 species